UCUCCAUGCGAUCCUCUGGGCUCUGGAGGGCCCCUCCAUUCAACGUUUAAAAGAGACGUGGAGACAGGUGUCCAGGAAGAACUGGCAAAUACUGAAAAACAUCAUCGAAACAUGCCACCAGGAGAGCAGGAAGCUUCUCAAGGAGGUUGACCGAGGGCCUCAACACACCCCGAGAGUCCAGAGGACAGGACAUUGGUCCGAGG